CGUGGCCCUCGGGCCGGCCGCGCUUCACGAGCCGCCGCCAGACGACCGGCGCCACAGCGGCAGCUCCGUACACAGCAGCUUCUCCACGUGCACGUACGGCCUGCCCGAGUCGAUCGUGACCCGGCUGAAGGCGCAGCAGCGCCAGGGACGUCAGUACAGGUCACAACAGCUGCCGCAGGAGGACGACUCGCUGGACACGUCGUCGGUCUCGCUGGACGGCGCUGGGCGGGGAAGGUACUGAGCCUGAGCCGGCGGGCUGCUGAACCCUUAUCGCCGCGGCGGGCACCCCGGCGCCGACGCGGGUCACGUCCCACGUUCGGGGUCAUGGAGGUCACGCCGCUGCACGGGGUGUUAGUGCUCCGCGAUGAACGUGCGCGUGUCGCUGAGGAGUGCUCCGACUGUUCACUGGUCGUCAGACUAAAGUAUAUUAUCAACCCGCCAAAUACCGCGUGCAUGUGUUUGUUCACGCGAUUUGGGUACGUCUGCGAGCUUUUAUGGAGCGGUGCUGUGCACUGCUGCAGUUUACUGUUUGCGUGUGCUGUUGUGCCGCGUCGCUGUGCUGCUGUUUUUGAUCUCUUUAUACCGUGGCGCGAGUGCCAUCACUCGCUGUGUCGUGUUCCGCCCGGCUGGGAUCGUCUGGAGCUGUUGACGCGUCCUGCGGAGGUUGUGCCGCGGGCAUAUCCUCCUGCUCCCUUCUUCAGCCUUGUGCAUGAUGUUCAUUUCAGUGCGUGAUUCACUGGAUAUGCACUGCAGAUGCUGGCUCUGUUUUGUGGCUCUGCGGUGAUGACAUGAUAGGUGCCAAGCCCAUUGCAUCCCUUCCUCAAUCUUCCUGCCAUGGAGUGCUCCAAAUACUCAUAUGUUCUAUUUUGCAUUUGUCUUUUAUUGACAACGUAUGCUUGUGUACAAAGUGUCUUUCUUCCGUCAUCGAUGACAUUUGGUAAAACCCCUUUUUGCAGUGUGCUAUCACGGAUGUCGUAAUGUUUUGUCGCAUGCAGGUAAUAUCCAUUCUUGCGACUGCCGUUGCCGGGAGGGACCGUAUUGUAACAGCACAAUCGUGUUAAAAUAAAAUGCGAU